UGUACCAGGGUCUCCAGAGGCAGAGAGGCACCACUCAGUGGAGAGGAGACAGCAAAUGCACACUCAAGUAUAUGGAAAUGAAUGGCCACCCUUACUUUCAGCCGUGCUGGAGAGAGGCUUCAGAGCUGUUCCACCUCGCCAUCAAAGAUUCAGCUCUGGGAAAAAUGCAG